rnacentral:rRNA from 1 species
CGAGUGGCGGACGGGUGAGUAAUGUCUGGGAAACUGCCUGAUGGAGGGGGAUAACUACUGGAAACGGUAGCUAAUACCGCAUAACGUCGCAAGACCAAAGAGGGGGACCUUCGGGCCUCUUGCCAUCGGAUGUGCCCAGAUGGGAUUAGCUAGUAGGUGGGGUAACGGGCUCACCUAGGCGACGAUCCCUAGCUGGUCUGAGAGGAUGACCAGCCACACUGGAACUGAGACACGGUCCAGACUCCUACGGGAGGCAGCAUG